UGCCUGUACACACACACACUUUUGCAGCAUCCAGACAUUUGCUACAUUUUGCCGAGGGCUUGGCCUCUUCCCUCCAGCCUCCCGGGGAAAGGGGCAGGACGCAGGGACAUAAGGCUCUGAGAGGCCUUGCCACUCACCCCCUGAGCGCAGGAGCAGAUUCAUACCUGGCACCACCAGGCGCAGAGCCGGGAGCCUGGGAUUUUCUGCGCACUCCCUCCCACUCCAGGGCACCUCCUCUGGGAAGCCUCUGGUGGCCCCGCGGCCUCCUCUCCCCCCUCGUGCCCCCACUGUUCCUACGCAGCAUCAGACAAGGCUGCCGAGGAGGGUGGUGUUGGACUUCAUCCCAGGGCCCUGGCCGCUGCCUUCCCCGAGCCUGGCUCAGUCUGUCAUCUGGCUUAUUUCGCAGUGUCUGUUCCCCACGAGGAGGCGCACAAGCCUUUAUUCCUAGUGUAUCCCGGGCCCUCCGGUGGCUGACGUACAGAAGGGGCUCCGUAAAUGCUUGUUGGCUAAAUAA